UACGUGAAACUGAGCUGGUGGAAACGGACAGAAUCGAAAAGUGCGAACGGAGUUGAUUCACGCCGCAUCUUGGGCGGGGAGGUGCCGUGUUGGGACGGCGUAUCGUGCCCCUCGUCCCCUCGGGGAUGUGGGAACACGUGCGUUGCCCGGCGCGGUGCUUAACCGGCUGCCCUCGUCGGCUGCACUUCACUCUUUGUAGCACGCCGCCGAUCGUUGGGAUGUUUCGUCGAAGGCCCACGGUGGAGCCCUCGCCGCUUGCGGUGGGGACCCGAGGUGAUCUUGACGACGCCCGACGAUUUCAGUCGCUGCCGACCGCGCUUUUACGCGUCCUUAGGCCCCGGUUUUACUGGGGUGACGAGGGACAGGUCAUAUGGCAGUCGUGGCGGCGCUUCUGCUUUCGAUCCCUGUCCGACCCGUCUUGAAACACGGACCAAGGAGUCUAACAUGUGCGCGAGUCAUUGGGCACAUACGAAACCUAAAGGCGCAAGUGAAAGCAAAAGCAUUAUUGCUAAGGGGCUAUGGUCGCGCUUCGUGCCGGCCCGCAACCCCGGGGCGUCGCGGACUCUUCGAGUCCUGGCGCACCCUGAGCGCACACGUUGGUACCCGAAAGAUGGUGAACUAUGCCUGGCCAAAGCGAAGUCAGGGGAAACCCUGAUGGAAGCUUGCAGCGGUUCUGACGUGCAAAUCGAUCGUCGGAGCU
rnacentral:rRNA from 1 species